AACCCCGGCACGCUCUCGUCCCCACCGCCCCAGGCCCCUUUCUCAUAGGCCUGGUGCUCUCCUUUCUCCGGCCCCUCCGCACCUAUGCCGCUCUCUCAUUGGCCCGGCGCCCUCCUGCCGGCACGCCCCCUCACGCUCUGGCCUGGCCCUCGCGCGGGGUUUGAAGACGGACCCCGCCUGCUGCUGCGGGCCCACGGGUUUCCGCCGGUGGCGCGGGUUUCUUUCUGAAAGUAAAAGGACGGAGACGUGAAGGCCUCACGAGGCCCAAGGAGCAGAGAGAAGGGAGUCAAAGGCGGGCCCCGUCAGACCUCCGGGAGGAAAGGGAGCAGGCCGCGACCCGCGCUGACCCUGAUGCAAACAACAUAUCGUUUUCGCAGGAGAAUAUAUCAACACAAUUGAGCACGAAAUUCACCAAAUUUCAAGAGCUUCAUGAUAUCCACGUUAAGAACUAGCCUGCUCCCCAACAUUUUUGCCCAUUCAGAGUUGUUUCAGAGGUGGCAGAAUUUGAUCUGGGCCUUGAAGAGGAAGAAUUUGGGAAAAGCAAGUGAGGCAUUCCAGGUGAGAGGAAUCUACGCCAGAGGGUGCUUGUAAUUGGCCAGGGACAGGAAGUGGUCCUUAUGCAUUUGGUGGUAAGAAAUGAAAUGAUUAAGUGAUUCUAGAGACUGUAAAGCAGUUUAGAAUCUGGUCCAGAUUCUGGAGAGAGUUUGGACUUCUUGAGGUGAAUCAAAGUGUGAACUGAGUGAUGCUCUGAACCAUUAAUGAGUGGCCCUAUGGAAAGUUCUGAAUCUGGUUUUAAAGGUGAUUAGUCUGGCAGAGUUAGGCUGUUUGGAUGGAUGAUCCACUGGGGGUGGUAGAAAGGGGAAGCUGGAGAAGAAUAAUAUGUCACUGUAAGUUUUGUUAUCCCUUACCAGAAAUUUUUGGGAAAUUUGAUUUUUUUUUUUUAAUGUUUAUGUUUGAGACAGAAAGACAGAGUGUGAGCGGGCUUGGGUAGAGAG